rnacentral:lncRNA from 1 species
UUUAAGAGGGUUUUGCUGGCGACAAAGGGUUUGGUGAAGGUCGCACAGAGGGUUUCGUGGCGACGAGAGAGUUAAAGUAAGGUCGGAAGUUAUUGAUGUGUUGCGAUGGCGGAGGCUUGUGGAGCCAGUCGCGGCCAGUGAUUUUAGGGUGAAGAUGUUGUUGGUGAUUUGUGGGUUCGUUAUCGGCGACGAUGAAGAUGGCCGAAAGGGGCUUUGUGGGAAGAUGAAGAUUUAUCUUUUUUUCUUCCCAGAAAACUGUUCAUUACUUUUUUAUUUUUUAUUUUUU